rnacentral:lncRNA from 1 species
AGGAUCAUCAUGAGGAUGGUGAUCAGUCUGGAUAGACUGACACACAGAUCACUUCUUUUGGGAUAGAUGGAUCUCUAGUCUAUAGUGUAGAGACAUUGGGCGACGAGUGCGGUAGUGGUUAGAGAACAACUAGUAUUGAGCGUGACCAUAUGAGAGAUCACUUGAAUUUCUAUUCGAUCGUCAAUGAUUGUCUUGAUGCUGUAAUUGUGUGACUGAU